rnacentral:rRNA from 1 species
UCAAGCGACUAAGUGUAUGUGGUGGAUGCCUUGGCGAUUACAGGCGAUGAAGGACGUCGCAGCCUGCGAAAAGCCGUGGGGAGCUGGCAAGCGAGCACUGAUCCACGGAUGUCCGAAUGAGGGAACUCACCCGCAAGGGUAUCUUGAAGUGAAUACAUAGCUUCAAGAGGCGAACGCAGCGAACUGAAACAUCUAAGUAGCUGCAGGAAAAGAAAUCAACCGAGAUUCUGAAAGUAGCGGCGAGCGAAAUUGGAAGAGCCUGCAAGUGAUAUUGAAUUCGAUACUGGAACGGUCUGGAAAGUCCGGCUACAGAGGGUGAUAGCCCCGUACGGGAAAUUGGGUUCAAAGUACUGAGCUUGCGAGAAGUAGAGCGGGACACGUGAAAUCCUGCUCGAAGAUGGGGGGACCAUCCUCCAAGGCUAAAUACUCGUAAUCGACCGAUAGCGAACCAGUACUGUGAAGGAAAGGCGAAAAGAACCCCGGGAGGGGAGUGAAAUAGAUCCUGAAACCGCAUACAUACAAACAGUAGGAGCCUCGUUAAGGGGUGACUGCGUACCUUUUGCAUAAUGGGUCAGCGACUUACGUUUAAUGGCGAGCUUAACCGUAUAGGGGAGGCGCAGCGAAAGCGAGUUCGAACAGAGCGUUCAGUCGUUAGGCGUAGACCCGAAACCAGAUGAUCUAUCCAUGGCCAGGUUGAAGGUGUGGUAACACACACUGGAGGACCGAACCGACUAGUGUUGCAAAAUUAGCGGAUGAGCUGUGGAUAGGGGUGAAAGGCUAAACAAAUCUGGAGAUAGCUGGUUCUCCCCGAAAACUAUUGAGGUAGUGCCUCGUGUAUGACUCCAGGGGGUAGAGCACUGUUAUGGCUAGGGGGACAUGGCGUCUUACCAAACCAUGGCAAACUCCGAAUACUUGGAAGUUUGAGCACGGGAGACAGAGCACCGGGUGCUAACGUCCGGACUCAAGAGGGAAACAACCCAGACCGCCGGCUAAGGUCCCUAAUAUUGACUAAGUGGAAAACGAAGUGGAAAGGCUAAGACAGUCAGGAAGUUGGCUUAGAAGCAGCCAUCCUUCAAAGAAAGCGUAAUAGCUCACUGAUCGAGUCUUUCUGCGCGGAAGAUGUAACGGGGCUAAGUCAAUAACCGAAGCCGCGGAUUCACACUUGUGUGUGAGUGGUAGGGGAGCGUUCUGUAAGCCUGCGAAGGUGACUCGUAAGGGUUGCUGGAGGUAUCAGAAGUGCGAAUGCUGACAUGAGUAACGUUAAAGCGGGUGAAAAGCCCGCUCGCCGUAAGCCCAAGGUUUCCUGCUCUACGUUCAUCGGAGCAGGGUGAGUCGGCCCCUAAGGUGAGGCUGAGAAGCGUAACUGAUGGGAACAAGGUUAAUAUUCCUUGACCACCGCUGAAUGCGAAGGGGGGACGGAGUAUUGAAGAUCAUCCGGGUGUUGGAUAUCCCGGUUUGCGAGCGUAGGAGGCUGACAGGCAAAUCCGUCAGCGAAUCUCCGAGGCGAAGCAUCGAGCUCUCUUUUGAGCGAAGUGAUUGGAUGUGCUUCCAGGAAAAGCCUCUAAGCUCCAGUUCAGCGGGACCGUACCGCAAACCGACACUGGUGGGCGAGCUGAAUAUGCUCAGGCGCUUGAGAGAACUCAGGAGAAGGAACUCGGCAAAUUGACACCGUAACUUCGGGAUAAGGUGUGCCUUUGUAGCGUGGAGGGAGAAACACCCCGAGCGCGAAGAGGUCUCAGAUAAUCGGUGGCUGCGACUGUUUAUUAAAAACACAGCACUCUGCAAAGACGAAAGUCGACGUAUAGGGUGUGAUGCCUGCCCGGUGCUGGAAGAUUAAUUGAUGGGGUGCAAGCUCCUGAUCGAAGUCCCAGUAAACGGCGGCCGUAACUAUAACGGUCCUAAGGUAGCGAAAUUCCUUGUC